AACGAACGCUGGCGGCAUGCCUAACACAUGCAAGUCGAACGAGACCUUCGGGUCUAGUGGCGCACGGGUGCGUAACGCGUGGGAACCUGCCCUUAGGUUCGGAAUAACUCCCCGAAAGGGGUGCUAAUACCGGAUAGUGUCUUCGGACCAAAGAUUUAUCGCCUUUGGAUGGGCCCGCGUUGGAUUAGCUAGUUGGUAGGGUAAAAGCCUACCAAGGCGACGAUCCAUAGCUGGUCUGAGAGGAUGAUCAGCCACACUGGCACUGAGACACGGCCCAGACUCCUACGGGAGGCAGCAGUGGGGAAUAUUGGACAAUGGGCGAAAGCCUGAUCCAGCAAUGCCGCGUGAGUGAUGAAGGCCUUAGGGUUGUAAAGCUCUUUUACCCGGGAUGAUAAUGACAGUACCGGGAGAAUAAGCUCCGGCUAACUCCGUG
rnacentral:rRNA from 1 species